rnacentral:rRNA from 1 species
CCUACGGGAGGCAGCAGUGGGGAAUAUUGCACAAUGGGGGAAACCCUGAUGCAGCGACGCCGCGUGAAGGAAGAAGUAUUUCGGUGUGUAAACUUCUAUCAGCAAGGAAGAAAAUGACGGUACCUGACUAAGAAGCCCCGGCUAACUACGUGCCAGCAGCCGCGGUAAUACGUAGGGGGCAAGCGUUAUCCGGAUUUACUGGGUGUAAAGGGAGCGUAGGCGGUUUAGCAAGUCAGAAGUGAAAGCUCGGGGCUCAACUCCGGGACUGCUUUUGAAACUGUUGAACUUGAUUGCAGGAGAGGUAAGUGGAAUUCGUAGUGUAGCGGUGAAAUGCGUAGAUAUUAGGAGGAACACCAGUGGCGAAGGCGGCUUACUGGACUGUAAAUGACGCUGAGGCUCGAAAGCGUGGGGAGCAAACAGGAUUAGAUACCCUGGUAGUC